GGAAUGACCUGAAAUAGAAACACAGAAACAUUUUCUGUCGUUUUCGCUAGAUAACCUUAGCAAUAAGCUAGCAGUAAGCAACUAGCUCAGCACUAGAAUUAGUUAGCUAUUUUCAGUAUAGUAAAAGCUGGCUAGUGAUUAAGCCUAGUGCUACCUUUAGAUUGCAAUUUUUGUUAUUAAAGUUAUUAAGCUUAGUGCUGAUGUUAAUUUCCUAUUUUUUACUAGCUAAAGUUGCCUAGCAACAGAAGCUUAGCACUUGGAAUUUUUGCUAGGGAAAGUUGGCUAGUGACUAAGCUUAGUGCUAUACUUAGCUACUUUUGCUAGUUGGAUAGUGAUUACGCUUAGUACUAGUGUUAGUCUGCUGUUUAUGCUAGUUAAAGUUUGCUAGCAAUCAUCUUCGCACUAGUUUAAUUUUUAUUUAUUGCUAGUUAUUUACCAAGCUUAAUGGUUGUGUUUGUUAUCCGUUUUUGCUAGUUAACUUUGUCUAGCUAGUUAAAGUUGUUUAGCUACAAAACUUAGCAUUAGUGUUAGUUUAGCUAUUUUCUCUGGUGAAGGUUAGCUAGUGAGUGAACUUAGUGCUAGCCUUAGGCCAGCUACUUUUGCCAGACAGAGUUGGAUAGCACCAAAGCACAGCACUGGUAUUAGUCAGAUAUGAUUGCUUGUGUACUGUCAGUCUAUCAAUGUUGAAAAUCAAACAAAACAAAAAGAAACAAACACCCAUAACUCUUCAGAAAGGCUGAACAGCUAGCGUGCGAAAGUGAUUAGAGAAAUGUCACGAACUUGAAGUGAUCCUGAAUGAGGUGCUGCUCCUAAAAUGAAUUAACAUAGUGACGAUAUAAAUAAAUGAUAAAGAAUUACAACAAAAUGUAAAUAAUUUUCUGACAAUUGAAUGAACGUUAGUGUUCCACUCAAGCUGAGAGCCCGAGAUAAAGUGUGAUGAAGGACAGUGCAAAAUGGGACAUGGGGUGGGUUUCAGGGAAAGUGGGACAGAGCUUAAAGGGUAGACGGGAUAAAAAAAAUUAAAAUGGCAGGAUAUAAGAAGGAGAACUGACUACAGGCUGCACUGAGAGCUCAUAUCUUCACUGUGUUAAAGAAAGGAUGGCACCACAAGGAAGCAGACAGAAGGACGGAAAAAAGACAAGAUACAGAGGCAUAAACAAAGCAAAGAAAGGAGAGCACUGCAGGUAUAGGACGGAAUGAAGAAUUAAUCAAUGGAAGGAGGAAAGAAUGAAAAGAGCUCUAGAGGAAUAUCAGAAGCAAGUGGAGAAUGGACAGAAUCCAAACCUCAGACUUUUGGCUAGAGCUUGGAACAUCCCUAAAUCUACUCUCCAGAGACUUGUGAAGGGACUCAUCAGAGGUUUUCAUCAUGCAUCAGGGAAAAAUCCUCUACUUUCUUCAGAAAGUAGGGAAGGACGUUGCUGAUCUUAUCAAGGUUCUUGCAGCGAGAGGCUUUCCGAUGUCACGCACAGACAUACAAAACAUCACCUUUCAGUAUGUGAAGGCCAACGGUGUGAAAGGUUUCUCAGAGAAAAAACAAAAAGCAGGCUAUUAUUGGUUUUGAAGGCUUUCUGAGAAGAAACCAACAUCUGAGUAUUUGUACCCUAGAAGCUGUUGUUGCUGAAAGUUCUGGAAUUUGUCCUACACUGGGUUCUGAAUGGUUCAGAAAUUAUGAACAACUUCUCAGAGAACUCAAGAUCAUUGACGUUUCAUCACACAUCUGGACUUUCAAGGAAUUUGAAUUAAAAGACUUCUGCGGCUCUUCCGUUGGAGCCCUGGAUGUAUAACAAGGAGAAACCGCAACAGUCCUAUCUGGAUUGAAUGCUGCUGGAAGAUGCACUCUUUCUCUGCACUUCUUUUCUUUGUUCUCAUCAGCAUGGGAGAAGACCGUCAGCGUUGAUUACGUUCAGUCAGGUUUGAUUGUUUUCGUAAUACAGAUGUCGUGGUGAUUUUAGAUGUUCUUUAUAAAUUCAACAGAUGAAUUGAUAACAAAACAUUCAAGUCCUCCACAGGUUUCAGAGCCGCAGGGAUGUUUCCUGUUAACAUGGACAUGAUUCCCAGUGAUGCUCUCACAAACACAGAGAGUGAGAUGGAUAAAUGUGAGGAGACCAGGACCACACCACUACAGAGUUUACCCUAGGCACAUGAGAUGGAUAUUGUAAAAGAGACCAGCUUUUUGACCACCAGGCCUGGUGACUACAGUGAGCCUCCCUCAACUACUGAGUUUUGUCAGGAUAAAGGAAGGAAUCAAUCCAUAAUUUCAGAUCAUAAAUACAAUUGACUUGGGAAUAUCCAGGGAUUCACCAAGAGGAGCUGGAAUCUGUGUCCAGGAAUAGUGUUGUCUGGGCUGACCUUCUAAACCUUCUCACCCUGACCACCACUGGAAACGUGGAAGCAAAAUGACUGAAUGAAUGAAUACAUUCUGUGAAUAAAGUGGGAAAAAGAACUGUGGUGGAUGUAGAACCGAGAUAAACGUGAGUGUCAUCUGCAUAACAGUGGAUGCUAAGGGCAUUUUCCACCAGUGAUCUGGCCAAUAGGAAUCUGACAUACAGAGAAAGGGAGGUGACCAAGGAUUGAACCUUGAGGGACACCGUGUAUAACAGGGGCAAAAGAGCAUGUAUGUUUACCAAUGGUUAUAUAGUACUAUCUAUCUGAGAGGUAAGAUGCAAAUCAAAGCUGAGCCAUGCCACAAAUAGCGAGAGGCAUAAGAGCAGAAUUCUAUGGAAAACCAUGUCAAAAGCUGCACUGAGAUCUAACAAAAUAAGAUUGAUGAUGGCACCAACA
ensembl:lncRNA